rnacentral:rRNA from 1 species
GUCGAGAGGCUUCCACAAUGGGGGAAACCCUGAUGGAGCGACGCCGCGUGGGUGAGGAAGGUCUUCGGAUCGUAAAACCCUGUCAGGAGGGAAGAAUACCGGAUUGGCUAAUAACCAUUCCGUUUGACGGUACCUCCAGAGGAAGCUCCGGCUAACUCCGUGCCAGCAGCCGCGGUAACACGGAGGGAGCAAACGUUGUUCGGAAUCACUGGGCGUAAAGGGCGCGUAGGCGGCUCCUUGAGUCGAGGGUGAAAACCUAUGGCUUAACCAUAGGCCUGCCCCCGAAACUGAGGAGCUUGAGGCCGUAAGAGGAAAGCGGAAUUCCUGGUGUAUCGGUGAAAUGAGUUGAUAUCAGGAGGAACACCGGUGGCGAAGGCGGCUUUCUGGUGCGGUUCUGACGCUGAGGUGCGAAAGCAUGGGGAGCAAACGGGAUUAGAAACCCGGGUAGUCC